AAUAGGCCCAAGCGACUGUUUAUCAAAAACACAGGUCUCUGCUAAACCGUAAGGUGAUGUAUAGGGGCUGACGCCUGCCCGGUGCUGGAAGGUUAAGAGGAGUGGUUAGCUUCUGCGAAGCUACGAAUCGAAGCCCCAGUAAACGGCGGCCGUAACUAUAACGGUCCUAAGGUAGCGAAAUUCCUUGUCGGGUAAGUUCCGACCCGCACGAAAGGCGUAACGAUUUGGGCACUGUCUCAACGAGAGACUCGGUGAAAUCAUAGUACCUGUGAAGAUGCAGGUUACCCGCGACAGGACGGAAAGACCCCGUGGAGCUUUACUGUAGCCUGAUAUUGAAAUUCGGCACAGCUUGUACAGGAUAGGUAGGAGCCUUUGAAACGUGAGCGCUAGCUUACGUGGAGGCGCUGGUGGGAUACUACCCUAGCUGUGUUGGCUUUCUAACCCGCACCACUUAUCGUGGUGGGAGACAGUGUCAGGCGGGCAGUUUGACUGGGGCGGUCG
rnacentral:rRNA from 1 species